GUUCGAUAACUGGGGUGAAGUCGUAACAAGGUAGCCGUAUCGGAAGGUGCGGCUGGAUCACCUCCUUUCUAAGGAA
rnacentral:rRNA from 1 species